AGAGUUUGAUCCUGGCUCAGAUUGAACGCUGGCGGCAGGCCUAACACAUGCAAGUCGAGCGGAUGAGUGGAGCUUGCUCCAUGAUUCAGCGGCGGACGGGUGAGUAAUGCCUAGGAAUCUGCCUGGUAGUGGGGGACAACGUUUCGAAAGGAACGCUAAUACCGCAUACGUCCUACGGGAGAAAGCAGGGGACCUUCGGGCCUUGCGCUAUCAGAUGAGCCUAGGUCGGAUUAGCUAGUUGGUGAGGUAAAGGCUCACCAAGGCGACGAUCCGUAACUGGUCUGAGAGGAUGACCAGUCACACUGGAACUGAGACACGGUCCAGACUCCUACGGGAGGCAGCAGUGGGGAAUAUUGGACAAUGGGCGAAAGCCUGAUCCAGCCAUGCCGCGUGUGUGAAGAAGGUCUUCGGAUUGUAAAGCACUUUAAGUUGGGAGGAAGGGCAGUAAGUUAAUACCUUGCUGUUUUGACGUUACCGGCAGAAUAAGCACCGGCUAACUUCGUGCCAGCAGCCGCGGUAAUACGAAGGGUGCAAGCGUUAAUCGGAAUUACUGGGCGUAAAGCGCGCGUAGGUGGUUCGUUAAGUUGGAUGUGAAAGCCCCGGGCUCAACCUGGGAACUGCAUCCAAAACUGGCGAGCUAGAGUAUGGCAGAGGGUGGUGGAAUUUCCUGUGUAGCGGUGAAAUGCGUAGAUAUAGGAAGGAACACCAGUGGCGAAGGCGACCACCUGGGCUAAUACUGACAC
rnacentral:rRNA from 2 species